rnacentral:rRNA from 1 species
UAGGGAAUCUUCGGCAAUGGACGGAAGUCUGACCGAGCAACGCCGCGUGAGUGAAGAAGGUUUUCGGAUCGUAAAGCUCUGUUGUAAGAGAAGAACGAGUGUGAGAGUGGAAAGUUCACACUGUGACGGUAUCUUACCAGAAAGGGACGGCUAACUACGUGCCAGCAGCCGCGGUAAUACGUAGGUCCCGAGCGUUGUCCGGAUUUAUUGGGCGUAAAGCGAGCGCAGGUGGUUAGAUAAGUCUGAAGUUAAAGGCUGUGGCUUAACCAUAGUAGGCUUUGGAAACUGUUUAACUUGAGUGCAAGAGGGGAGAGUGGAAUUCCAUGUGUAGCGGUGAAAUGCGUAGAUAUAUGGAGGAACACCGGUGGCGAAAGCGGCUCUCUGGCUUGUAACUGACGCUGAGGCUCGAAAGCGUGGGGAGCAAACAGGAUUAGAUACCCUGGUAGUCCACGCUGUAAACGAUGAGUGCUAGGUGUUAGACCCUUUCCGGGGUUUAGUGCCGUAGCUAACGCAUUAACACUCCGCCUGGGGAGUACGACCGCAAGGU